GGGGAUGUGGCUCUGUGGUAGAGCUCUUGCCUUGCAUGCAUAAGGCCGUAGGUUAGAUCCCCACCACCACCG
rnacentral:tRNA from 1 species